rnacentral:lncRNA from 1 species
UGUAAUUGUUUUACAGUCAUUUCUUAGAGGGCCAUGAAGCAAGGUGAAGAUGAUGAUGAUGAUACAGUACCAAAGAGCAAAGAGAGGAUGCAGAAAAGUGACUGAGUUUUGGUAACUGCUUACAACAACAACCAAGUAAAGAAUAUGUAACAGCAUAUGAUACACUUAGUGGAACUUGAGACUGGUCAAGACAUUGUUGUUGACAGGGUCUGCAAGAUGAUCUAAGAGGUUUUGGUAUGGCCCAACACCUGUCACAAGAGCUUGAAUAAAGUAACCCAAAAUUGCCAACAUAGCCAACCUUCCAUUCUUCACCUCCUUCAGCUUCAAAUCCUUCAAGGAUUUCUCAUCUUUCCCAAAACCAAGAGGGUUGAAGAGAGGUCCUCCUGGGUAUGCUGGCUCACCAGAACCUCCAAGACCCUUCUCUAGUCCUAAGAAGUACUGUUUCCCCAUUGAGCCUGGUUUUGCCCAAUCUUGGAAUCUUCUGUGCUCUGCAAAUCCCAUCAGUGCCAUCUCAAACACAAAGAGGGUGUAGGAGUCUGCCCAGUAGUUGUAGGUUCCUGCAGGUGGGACCACACCGGUUCUGAACCAUGGCAGUGCUGUUUCCUCAGGGAUCAGACCAGCCUUGCCAAGAAUUUCAGGUGCUAUGGAACCUACUGCACCCAACAUUGCAAAACGACCAUUGAUGACUUCACCAUAUGCUAGCCAUUUGGGCUCAAUGAACCCUCCUGUUCCUUCAGGGUCUGAAAGCCCAAGAGGGUCAAAUCCAUAGUCACCAGGAAGACUGCAAACCAAAUGAUGCCAAACAAAGUCAAUUCCACCACCUUCAUACUAUAUAUCUAUUAUUUCACUCUUCUAAAUUGCUUAAAUUUCAAAGUAUUUUGUUUUAUUAAGAAGUUUGUUUUAAUUGGCUUAUAAGACUAUGUUUGUAACACUUAUAUACUGUGAAAUACUCUAAUUUCCAAUCCAUUCCUCAUGCCGUCGACCUCAUACAGUCAAGAGUUAUAGAUGGUCUAAUAUCCGAUAAUAGGUGACAGGUCACACGAUACAUUCAACAAACUCUAUAAACUUUUAAAUGAAUUUAUAACAUGUUAAUUAAGAAGAAGUGGAAUUUAGCAGUUCAGUUUUAUUCUCUUAUGCUAUAGGUGAUUUACCUGCCAUCCAAGUAAGAAAGACUUUGCUUUGAUGCAAACCAUAAGGGUCUGUCUGCUCCUUGCUGAACUCCAAAAGGAAGAAACUUUUAUAAGCAUACAUCAUGAAGAUGAAUAAGACACAAAAAAAAAAGGAGUGAGUGUGAGAGAGGAAGAGACCUUGACAGGGGGAGUAGAAGCUGCCUUGACAAUGAAGGAUUGUUUUCGGGAGAACCCAAUGGGAGAUUGGAGUGAUCUUGGUCCAAGACUCUGUCUUGCAGACUCAGAUGAGAAGACAAGAGAUGAAGAUGGUAGCAGAGCUUGUGCAGCCAUGGUGGUCAGUGCUCCUUUUGUUGCUUUGCAAUUGGUGCAGCAGAAGAGAGUAAUGUUGAAGAUGAG